ACGUAGGUGGCAAGCGUUGUCCGGAAUUACUGGGCGUAAAGCGCAUGUAGGCGGCCUAUCAAGCCAGGUGUGAAAUUUAGGGGCUUAACCUCGAAACUCCGCUGGGAACUGCUGAUCUUGAGUGCAGGAGAGGAAAGUGGAAUUCCCAGUGUAGCGGUGAAAUGCGUAGAUAUUGGGAGGAACACCAGUGGCGAAGGCGACUUUCUGGACUGCAUCUGACGUUGAGAUGCGAAAGCUAGGGUAGCAAACGG
rnacentral:rRNA from 1 species